rnacentral:rRNA from 1 species
UACGGAAGGCAGCAGUGGGGAAUAUUGCACAAUGGGCGCAAGCCUGAUGCAGCCAUGCCGCGUGUAUGAAAAAGGCCUUCGGGUUGUAAAGUACUUUCAGUCGUGAGGAAGGUGUUAAGGUUAAUAACCUUAGCAAUUGACGUUAGCGACAGAAGAAGCACCGGCUAACUCCGUGCCAGCAGCCGCGGUAAUACGGAGGGUGCGAGCGUUAAUCGGAAUUACUGGGCGUAAAGGGCACGCAGGCGGUUAAUUAAGUUGGAUGUGAAAUCCCCGGGCUUAACCUGGGAAUGGCAUUCAAGACUGGUUAGCUAGAGUCUUGUAGAGGGGGUUAGAAUUCCAUGUGUAGCGGUGAAAUGCGUAGAGAUGUGGAGGAAUACCGGUGGCGAAGGCGGCCCCUGGACAAAGACUGACGCUCAUGUGCGAAAGCUGGGGAGCAAACAGGGAUUAGAUACCCG